rnacentral:rRNA from 1 species
GCCGGAGGAAGGUGGGGAUGACGUCAAGUCCUCAUGGCCUUUAUGCCCAGGGCUACACACGUGCUACAAUGGGCGGUACAAAGAGAAGCAACCUCGCGAGGGUGAGCAAAUCUACAAAAAGCCGUUCUCAGUUCGGAUUGAAGUCUGCAACUCGACUUCAUGAAGUCGGAAUCGCUAGUAAUCGCGGAUCAGCAUGCCGCGGUCGAAUACGUUCCCGGGCCUU